AUUGAACGCUGGCGGCAUGCUUUACACAUGCAAGUCGAACGGUAACAGGUUAAGCUGACGAGUGGCAAACGGGUGAGUAAUGCAUCGGAACGUGCCCGAUCGUGGGGGAUAACGCAGCGAAAGCUGCGCUAAUACCGCAUACGAUCUGAGGAUGAAAGCGGGGGACCGUAAGGCCUCGCGCGAUCGGAGCGGCCGAUGUCAGAUUAGGUAGUUGGUGGGGUAAAGGCCCACCAAGCCGACGAUCUGUAGCUGGUCUGAGAGGACGACCAGCCACACUGGGACUGAGACACGGCCCAGACUCCUACGGGAGGCAGCAGUGGGGAAUUUUGGACAAUGGGCGAAAGCCUGAUCCAGCAAUGCCGCGUGCAGGAAGAAGGCCUUCGGGUUGUAAACUGCUUUUGCACGGAGCGAAAAGGUCCUUUCUAAUACAAGGGGCUCAUGACGGUACCGUAAGAAUAAGCACCGGCUAACUACGUGCCAGCAGCCGCCGUAA
rnacentral:rRNA from 1 species